GCCAGAGGUGCCGAGCGUUAGGCGGAAUCACUGGGCUUAAAGCGUGUGUAGGCGGAUCCGUAAGUACCUUGUGAAAUCCCACGGCUCAACCGUGGAACUGCUUGGUAUACUGCGGGUCUUGAGCCACCUAGGGGCGAGCGGAACAAGUGGUGGAGCGGUGAAAUGCGUAGAUAUCACGUGGAACGCCAAUGGUGAAAACAGCUCGCUGGGGGUGUGCUGACGCUGAGACACGAAAGCCAGGGGAGCAAACGGG
rnacentral:rRNA from 1 species